rnacentral:rRNA from 1 species
AGUGAACGCUGGCGGCGUGCUUAACACAUGCAAGUCGAACGAUGAUGCUCUAGCUUGCUAGAGCGGAUUAGUGGCGCACGGGUGAGUAAUGUAUAGCUAAUGUGCCUCUUAGAGGGGGAUAACAGUUGGAAACGACUGCUAAUACCCCAUACUCCUUCUUCCUAUAAGGGAAGUUGGGAAAGUUUUUUCGCUAAGGGAUCGGGCUAUACGGUAUCAGCUUGUUGGUGAGGUAAUGGCUCACCAAGGCUAUGACGCCUAUCUGGUCUGAGAGGAUGAUCAGACACACUGGAACUGAGACACGGUCCAGACUCCUACGGGAGGCAGCAGUGGGGAAUAUUACACAAUGGAGGAAACUCUGAUGUAGCAACGCCGCGUGGAGGAUGACACAUUUCGGUGCGUAAACUCCUUUUAUGUGAGAAGAUAAUGACGGUAUCACAUGAAUAAGCACCGGCUAACUCCGUGCCAGCAGCCGCCGUAA